rnacentral:rRNA from 1 species
AAGCUCGUAGUUGAAUUUCGGGAUUAGUACGUCGGUCGUGCCUUAGGUACGUACUGGUGUUACUGGUUCCUACCUUCUGACGAACCAUCAUGUCAUUAAUUUGGUGUGGUGGGGAAUCAGGACAGUUACUUUGAAAAAAUUAGAGUGUUUAAAGCAGGCUCGCGCUUGAAUACAUUAGCAUGGAAUAAUGAAAUAGGACGUUGAUCCUAUUUUGUUGGUUUCUAGGAUUGACGUAAUGAUUAAUAGGGAUAGGG